UACGUAGGGUGCGAGCGUUGUCCGGAAUUAUUGGGCGUAAAGAGCUCGUAGGCGGUUUGUUGCGUCUAUCGUGAAAACCUGACAGGCUUAACCUGUGGGCUUGCGGUGGAUACGGGCAGACUUGAGUUCGGUAGGGGAGACUGGAAUUCCUGGUGUAGCGGUGAAAUGCGCAGAUAUCAGGAGGAACACCGGUGGCGAAGGCGGGUCUCUGGGCCGAUACUGACGCUGAGGAGCGAAAGCGUGGGGAGCGAACAGG
rnacentral:rRNA from 1 species